AGAAAAUACACUGCAAGAAAACCUGGAAUCCUGUAAGUAACAGUUUUUUGGAAACUUCAGGAGGAUGGAAUGAGACUUAUGGCAACUGAGGGACGUUGAGCAAUGUGGCAGUCAUUACAGAUCAACCUGAUGAGAGACAAUGGAGGAAAAAAUGGACCAAAAAAUCACCAACACAUUCUUUUAU